GGCUGAGACAGUUGGUAACUGGCCUGCUAUCACUGAGGUUAAGGUUUCACUCUGGCACUCCAGAGGCAGAGACAGUAUGCUGAGGCAGUGUGUGACACCAUGAUUAGAGGACAGCGGCUCUUGUCUAUUCCUCAAAAACCCAGGUACAUCCUGCUCUUCCUAGUCUUGCUACAGAAGUGGGUCCCUCACCCUGACUUCUCUGCUUGUUAGAUCCACUUUGGUUGGGUUGUAGGCACUGACCCUCUCUUCCCACCGCCUGGCUAACUGAGGUGUUAAGGCUACAGGAGUCUAUGACUCUCCUAGGACUCUGUGCAGCCCUCACUGUACAGUCAGUGCUGACUGAGACACCCAGGCCCCUGCCCAGGACAUGUCCGUUUGGCCUCCCCAGGGAAGCAGAGCCCUGCCCUCUUUGAUGUCCCCUUUUUAUGUUCAGGAUCCUGCAAAUGUGCACAUUCUGCUUAGGGGAGAAAACACCACAUUUGUCUUUAGCAACUUCUCUUAUCUUGUGUAACAUUAUCCUUAGUUCCACCUAUUUUCUAGAAAAUGACAAAAUGUCAUUUUUUUAGAUAUAUUUCUUCUUUACUUACAUUUCAAAUGUUAUUCCCUUUCCUGGUUUCCUGUCCAUAAGCCACUGUCUCCUCCCCCUUCCCCAUACGAGUUUUCCCCCCCGUCCACCGCCCUUAGCAGCCCCCUUCUGCACUGGGGGUCCAACUUUGGCAGGACCAAUGGCUUCUCCUUCCAUUGUUACCCAACAUGUCUAUUCUCUGCUACAUAUGCCAUUGGAUCCCUGGGUCAGUCCAUGUAUAGACUUUGGGUAAUGGUUUAGUCCUUGGAUGCUCUGGUUGGUUGGCAUUGUUGUUCUUAUGUGGUUGCAAAAUCUCAUUCUUAAAGCAAGGCACUAUCUUUUCUCUAUAUAUGCUUCACGUGUUUUUAAUGUAUGGAUCUGUGUAUUUCAAUCUCACCUUCUAUUCCUUAGUAAACUGAUCUUGAUCAUGAAUGUGACUUUUAAAUGUGUCUGAAAUAGUGUGAAGUAACAUGUACCCUCAUUAAGGUUUGUCACAUCUUUUAUAUGAAAAUACGGGCAUAGUUUUUAGUUUAUUGUAGUUUUUCUGAAGUCUAGUUUUAUUUUUCCCGCGUAAAUGGUAGGCUAUGCCUUUAGAGGUUUAUUGUAGUUUUAAGUGUAUGUGUGCAUCUGCACACCGUGAAAGUCAAAAGACAAAUGUGGGGCCAGUUCUUUCCUUCUACCGUGUGUGCUUGAGGGAUGAGUCUUGGAUCAUCAUCUCUGGUGGUAAGCAGCACUGGUUUUGGGUACAGGGUAACAUUGGAUUUUUGGAACAUAUUGGAAAGUUUCCCUUUAUUUUCAUUUUAUGGAAUUAUUUUACGAACAUUGGUGUUGUUUAAAAUCUAGUAGAAUUCAUUUUGAAUACAUCUUGCCUUGGAUUUAUUGUUGAUUUUUUGGUUAUUAAUCUUUUAAAUUCAUUGCUUGUUAUUGACCUAUUCAGGCAUUUUAUAUGCAUAUUGAAGUUUGCACAUUUCUCCCUCUCCAUUGAUUACAAUAUAGGUUUCCUAUUCUUACCCAUAGAUUCUCAGGUCUGUUUUAAUGGUUGUUUUGUUGGAUCUGUUUAUUUAUUUGAUGCAAGUUAGUAUAGCGUUGUUCUCUUUAGACACACCAGCAGAGGACAUUAGAUCCCAUUACACAUGGUUGUGAGCCACCAGAUAAAUUACUGGUAAUUGAACUUAGGACCUCUGGAAGAAUAGUCAAUGCUCUUAACCACUGAGCCAUCUCCACCCUUGUUCUGAUGGUUCUUAGAGCCUAGCAUAUGUACUAGUGUACAACAUUCAUUUGUUUCUCUCAUUUUACUCUGUAUCUUUUAAUUUUGUUAGAUUUGGGGAUGCUGCCUCAGUUUCCUCUCUCCUUUCCAAGGACCAUGCUUUCUUUUUUCAUUGUUCAUUAUGGUCUGUUUGGUUAGGGUCAGCUCUCACCUUCAGUGUGUUUUGUCAGCUACUGCUUUGGGUUUUGUUUGUUAUUUUUCUGACAGAGAAUCUUUCCUGUGUCUCUCAAAUGAUGAAGGAGAAGAGGCUCAUCUCUCUGGUUGUUGAACCAUGGGAGCAGGGAGUAUCCUGACAAGGACUGAGAGGUUAUGGAAGGAGCCAGGUUCUAGCUUUCUGGGGAUGUGUGUCUGUACACCAUCAGACAGCAAUGAGACUCUGGGUCUGUGUGCUUAUAGGCUUCCUCCAGUGACUGUAAUUUACCUACUAGCUCUACGCUCUGUCAGCAUACUGCAGCACCAGCCAUGAUGUCAUGGUCAAACUGGUCAAGCAUGGCACCCUAUCCCAGAUCCUGACUUUGUAUUUGCAACAUGUCCUGGAUCCUUGACCACCAGCAGCAGAUGGUGCAACGAACUUUCUGACCAAGAUGUGAAAGUGUUUCCGCUGAGCCUUGAGAUGUGAACAUAUAUUGCGCCUGUCAUCUGGACGGAACAACUUGAGGAAGGGCCAUCCAUAUUCCCGCUCCCUAACCAGGACACUGCUAAGGUGAAUAUGAGGAGUAAGUCCAUCUCUGACUCCUUUUCCCUGAAGGGCUUCACUGCCCUGAAGGCAGCACACCUGUGUAUGCCCUGCCUGUGACGUUACUGAUACAGACCAAAUGGAGAGAGCAGCAUGACCGAUGCCUGCCCUGUGGACUACACUGAUAGUCUAAGAUCAAGAAAAGCACCAAGGGCUGUCAUGGCAGUGAGUCAAAGCCAAAGUAAGCAGAGAUGAGGAGGAGGAAAGGAGAAACUUGAUGGAGUGAGGAGAGCAUUGGCAUCCAUUUUGGAAGGCCAUGCCCACUGCAAUAGGUAAAGCAGAGUAGCUUCUCUCCAGGAUCCUGGACCUAACGGCAGAAGUUUCGGGCGAUCCCUGACCAGGCUCCAUGGAGGCAGAGCAUCAUGCCGUGAGUUAGCUCGGUACAGGAGUUCACUAAUCUAAGCUUAGGAACAGAUUAUGUACUCCAGGGCAUGCUAAAUGCCGGUUGAUGCCGCACAUACCUUAAUAAUUUAAAUGACACACAGAGGAGAGGACAUUAUCUUUUAGCAGACUCCACAGGUGCCUGCCUCACAGUGUGACAAAGAAUACUACCGAGUAUGGCUUAGACACCACAGUGGACACUGACUUGUUGCCAGACCUUGGGCACAGGGCACACAUGCAACUGUGUGAGAUUCAAAGCUCCUUCAUGUAGACUGUAUAUCAAAGUACUGCUGGGAAGCUAUGUACAGUUCAGUCAGUGUUAGCAGGGGUCACGUGUGGAAAGAAUAUAGAAUAACAGAGUUGCUUUUCCUUCCAGCCUACGUGCCUGGUCUCCUUCAUAUGAGCCAUUGCUUCUUAACCUUUGUAACUCUGCAGCCAUUUAAUGCAGGUAUUCAUGUUGUGGUGACCUCCACACCCCUACACACAACCAUAAAAUUACCUUACUGCUACUUCCAAGCUUCCUAGUUUUCUACUGCUAUGAAUAAUAUUGUAACUAUCUGAGAUGCAGGAUAUCUGAUAUAUAAGCCCCAAAGUGGUUGUGAUCCUCAUUGAGGACCAACUCUCAGAGCAGCUCGUGCAGGGCUGUCAGCUUGGCUGAUCCCCUGACACCUGAGAGGGCCUGGUGUCCGAGGGUGGCUCACAGCUCCCUGCCACAAUGUUCUCUCCUCUGUGAUGAGACAGCUAUACUGCGGAAGUGUGAUGGUGCAGGG
ensembl:lncRNA